AGGACGAACGCUGGCGGCGUGCUUAACACAUGCAAGUCGAGCGGUAAGGCCUUUCGGGGUACACGAGCGGCGAACGGGUGAGUAACACGUGGGUGAUCUGCCCUGCACUCUGGGAUAAGCCUGGGAAACUGGGUCUAAUACCGGAUAUGACCUGCUCUCGCAUGGGGGGUGGGUGGAAAGAUUUAUCGGUGCAGGAUGGGCCCGCGGCCUAUCAGCUUGUUGGUGGGGUAAUGGCCUACCAAGGCGACGACGGGUAGCCGACCUGAGAGGGUGACCGGCCACACUGGGACUGAGACACGGCCCUGACUCCUACGGGAGGCAGCAGUGGGGAAUAUUGCACAAUGGGCGAAAGCCUGAUGCAGCGACGCCGCGUGAGGAUGAAGGCCUUCGGGUUGUAAACCUCUUUCAGUCAGGGACGAAGCGACAAGUGACGGUACCUGCAAGAAGAAGCACCGGACUAACUACGUGCCAGCAGCCGAC
rnacentral:rRNA from 1 species